UAAGCUAACAAGCAGCCCCAAACUGCUUAGUCAUCAGAGUAUUUUGUUUCUGGCAUGGUUCAAAAGCAAAAUAGUUUUAAUGAUGAAAAGCCAUUCCUGCCAGAAGUAUUUACUCUGUCUUUAGCCAAGACAUGAACAAUGGCAUUGAUUUGUUUCAGCCAUGGCCAUUCCAAUCAAGCCAAAAAUUUAGAACUGUACUUUUUGCAUGUCAUGAAUACAUCACACUGAUUAAACAUCUGAGCAUCAAAGAGGAAAAGCAUGAAAUGGGAUGGGAUGACAUCUCAAACAAGUAUAUGUAUACACUGUAAAUAUAAUGAUUAUAUGAGUUACUAUAUCCUUCCUGGAUCUGGCCAUUUUCCCUUGACCUUUCUCAUCAACAAGACGUUUCCACCCACAGAACUGUAGGUGUACAGGUGUUCCGAAUAAAUCGGGUGGACGGUAGUGCUUUAUUUUCUCUCGCUGAUGAGGCCCCUGUCGGCUGUCGUCCCCUGCACCUGCUCCCAUGCCGUGAGAAACACCUGACUCAAAAUUCCUCUUCCCAUGGAGGCAUCAGUUGCCUGACAGCAGGCAUCAGAAUGCAUUAUGUCUGAAUUCACAAAGAUUGGGAGAAGGGGAGGAGGACCUUCUGUUUUCUGCCCAGUGCUGUCAGAAUAAAGAGGGAUUUCUGCAAGCUCUUCCAGUUUGAGAUGUAUUUAAGUAUCAAAACUCAGCCAUAACUCUCCUUUGUGCCCUAAUGUUCUCCCUAUUCCUCACAGUCUCCUAAUAAAAAAUGAGUUGCAAUGAAAUGGACUAACAUCUAAAGACAAGAGACCGACACCUCAGCAUGUCAUCAUUUUUUAGGGACGUAAAUGACUGAAUAGCACUUAAUUUUCAUUUUGGUAAUAUACAGGAAUUUGUAAAGUUGUUCUGAGGCAUUCUAUAAUUAAGAUUAUAUUUGGCAUUUGCAAAAAAAAGUCAAUAUUUGCAAACCGAAUGCAUAUAUGCUAUCACACAGCACUUCUAAAAUUUAAUAUACUGACUAUUUGCCAAGCUCAAUGAAUAAUAAUUUUGGAUAUUUGACAAGAGAUAUGUUCACUGCCUUGUAAGCUAUGUUAUGAACAUAGUCAUUUUUCAAAGAAAAGUUGCUAUUCUUAUAGGUUAUGUAUCCAUUUAUCAACACUAAUGAUAGUGUAGUAAUUACUAUUUGUAUUAAAACUUUUUGUAGUUAUAUUAUUUUUACUAUUAGAGUAGCAUGCAAUGGUCAUCACAACUGAAGAACAAUGGUCUAUCAAGCA
ensembl:lncRNA